CUUUUGUCUCUCACCAAACACAUCGAGCUCUCUCUGUUUUUUUCUUUCUUUUUCUCUUCUAACCCUCAACCGAACCAAAAUCUGCGAAUCAAAACCCAAGUUUUCGGAAAUCAAAACCAAUCUCUCCAAUUAAACCCUAAUUUCACAAAUCAAUACUUAUCUCUCGGAAACCGACAUCAGAGAACUUCUUUUUGGGAAAAAAUUUAGUUCAUAAACAGAUCUAGGGUUUCUUAAUUUUUUUUGGUUAGUUUCGUAUGUUUGAUUUGUAUGACCACCAAACCCAAAGGUUUAAAUUCCAUGUUCUAGAUUUGAAGGGGUUUGUUCACUUCAGAAAGACAGACGGUGAGAUUUGUCAAGAAACUUGCAAAAUUAUUUGAUGCAAGAAAUUGUUGUGAGUUGAAAUCUAGUUGGUUGGAAACUUUUGGAGUGAUGGAAAAAAUAGGAAGAAAAAAAACUAAAAAGCAUUCAUUAUCAAAUAGGUAUUAUUACAAGCUAGUUCUUAGCCUCACCGGGAUUGUGGGAGUGUGCAAUUUGUUAACAGAAGUUUUACUAUGGGUUCGUUAUUAUCUUUGUGUAGUUAAGUUGUUCGUUGAAAUGCGCAUAAGAAAUAACUCACUUUUGAUGUUUAACCUGAUAGUUCACUAUGUGCUGGUGGUGGUAAAAAUGGUGCAACUUCGUUGUGGGAUUUUGCUGAGUGUAAGAAAUUAUAUUCAUUUGAUCCCAGUGGUAUUAUUCAUGCUUUGUAGAUGAAUUAGUUUGGUGUGCCCUCUACUAUAGAUGCAGGAUGAAGCUAGCUAGUUGACUAGGCAGUGAGGUUACCACUGUCCUUGUCUAGUGUAUGGUAGUGAAAUAUUCACUUAAAAAUUUGGCUACCUUUCAUAAGUUUCAUAGUUUGAAGGAUACCGCCGAGACGAUCAGUUGAUCAGUUCUGUUUUGGAAACAGACAAGGCAUAAAUGGUGGUGAGCGAGAAGCGCCAAUUUAGACAAAUGUUGGUUCUACCUCAACUAUGAGCUUCAACCAAAAUUUGGUGCUUAUACAUAGUGACACAAAAGCCACUUCUAUGCUACUUCUGUGUUUCUCAGAUCACUGACUGGAGAAAUACCUGAUGCCUUUCAGGCUCUUCCAAGUUUGAUAAGAUAUGUAAGACUUGACCUACCUUUUAUCACUUCCAUGUGCAGGGAAAUAUCAGAUAGCAACUUGAGAGGGCAGCUACCUCUUUCUAUACAGUUUGCUGGAAACACUAAAUCUCGUGCAACAUGAAUGUUAUGAGCAUAGUAGUGGCUAUUCAAUUCCUAAUUGAAAAGCAGUAGUUAAUUCUGCAACAUCACAAGUUCUUAUUUCAGGAAGCACACGUGCGCGGCAACAUAGCUGCAGAGACAGAUACAAAAGAUAUCUUCUAUAUGUUGAAGUGUUGUGCUCAAGGUCAGUUGUCGUGGUCGGUAUAUUAACAAGUUCGAAAUUUUAGGGAGAAUAGACAUCUUAACCAGUUUGUUUGUUUACUUAAGAGAACAUGUAUCUUUUGCUGGUGUGGUUGGCCCUGUGACCUUAUCUGCUAAUGUUUGUUGGUGGAAUGACGAUUUUAUAGUGGCUUUCGUGUAAUAUGUUUAUAUUCAUUUUCUUAUGUGAUGAUCCUAUUAUACAAUAGCCGUCAAGACUUCAAUGUAUAUAAAGCCAAUAGAUUAAGCGAAACUUUUUGAUUAUUA